rnacentral:misc_RNA from 1 species
GAUGAAGAACGUAGCGAAAUGCGAUACUUGGUGUGAAUUGCAGAAUCCCGUGAACCAUCGAGUCUUUGAACGCAAGUUGCGCCCGAAGCCAUUAGGCCGAGGGCACGCCUGCCUGGGCGUCACACGUCGUUGCCCCCCCAUCUACUCCUUCGGGAUUGCGGGGGGCGGAGGAUGGCCUCCCGUGCGCCUCGUCGCGCGGUUGGCAUAAAUGCCAAGUCCUCGGCGACGCACGCCACGACAAUCGGUGGUUGCGAAACCUCGGUUGCCCGUCGUGUGCGGUCGUCGCGCAUCGAGGGCUCGAAAAAAUUGCCGGGCUCCGGCUCGGCUUUCAACGCGACCCCAGGUCAGGCGGGGUUACCCGCUGAAUUUAAGCAUAUCAAUAAGCGGAGGA